AAAUUUCUGUUUAUGCUUUUAAAAUGAGAAGAAAAGUAACUAACUGUCUUGGAUUGCAAAGACCUGGGUGGACCUCUUUCUCAGUGUCCAGUGUCCUGUGGCAUAAAUUCAGUGCAAUAAAU